rnacentral:rRNA from 1 species
GGCAGGGACGGGCAGCGGGCGAGGGAUAUACGUAGUGGGCAGUCGGUGUCGGAAGUUGUGGAGCGGAGAAAGUGCGAAGGAGGCUGGUGGCGACGGCGGGGAAAGACGGGGGCACGACGCCGGGCCUGCAGACGGUACGGGCAAGCUGGAGUUCGGUAGAGGAUACUGGGAUUCCUGGUGUAGCGGUAGAAUGCGCAAAUAUCAGGAGGAAGACCGGUGGCGAGGGGGGGUCUCUGGGCCGGUACUGACGCUGAGGAGCGAAAGCGUGGGGAGCGAACAGGAUUAGAUACCCUGGUAGUC